rnacentral:rRNA from 1 species
UAGGGAAUCUUCGGCAAUGGACGAAAGUCUGACCGAGCAACGCCGCGUGAGUGAAGAAGGUUUUCGGAUCGUAAAACUCUGUUGUUAGAUAAGAACAAGGACGGUAGUAACUGAACGUUCCCUGACGGUAUCUAACCAGAAAGCCACGGCUAACUACGUGCCAGCAGCCGCGGUAAUACGUAUGUGGCAAGCGUUGUCCGGAUUUAUUGGGCGUAAAGCGAGCGCAGGCGGUUUCUUAAGUAUGAUGUGAAAGCCCCCGGCUCAACCGGGGAGGGUCAUUGGAAACUGGGAGACUUGAGUGCAGAAGAGGAGAGUGGAAUUCCAUGUGUAGCGGUGAAAUGCGUAGAUAUAUGGAGGAACACCAGUGGCGAAGGCGGCUCUCUGGUCUGUAACUGACGCUGAGGCUCGAAAGCGUGGGGAGCAAACAGG